rnacentral:rRNA from 1 species
AGAGCGAACGCUGGCGGCAGGCCUAAUACAUGCAAGUCGAACGGAUCCUUCGGGAUUAGUGGCGGACGGGUGAGUAACACGUGGGAACGUGCCCUUUGGUUCGGAACAACUCAGGGAAACUUGAGCUAAUACCGGAUGUGCCCUUCGGGGGAAAGAUUUAUCGCCAUUGGAGCGGCCCGCGUCUGAUUAGCUAGUUGGUAGGGUAAAGGCCUACCAAGGCUUCGAUCAGUAGCUGGUCUGAGAGGAUGAUCAGCCACACUGGGACUGAGACACGGCCCAGACUCCUACGGGAGGCAGCAGUAGGGAAUCUUGCGCAAUGGGCGAAAGCCUGACGCAGCCAUGCCGCGUGAAUGAUGAAGGUCUUAGGAUUGUAAAAUUCUUUCAGCGGGGACGAUAAUGACGGUACCGCAGAAGAAGCCCCGGCUAACUUCGCGUCAGCAGCCGC